UACGAAGGGGGCUAGCGUUGCUCGGAAUCACUGGGCGUAAAGGGUGCGUAGGCGGGUCUUUAAGUCAGGGGUGAAAUCCUGGAGCUCAACUCCAGAACUGCCUUUGAUACUGAAGAUCUUGAGUUCGGGAGAGGUGAGUGGAACUGCGAGUGUAGAGGUGAAAUUCGUAGAUAUUCGCAAGAACACCAGUGGCGAAGGCGGCUCACUGGACCGAGAUUGACGCUGAGGCGCGAAAGCGUGGGGAGCAAACAGG
rnacentral:rRNA from 1 species